rnacentral:rRNA from 2 species
ACGGGGUGCAGCAGGCGCGAAACCUUUGCAAUGUGCGCAAGCACGACAAGGUUAAUCCGAGUGUUUCCUGCUAAAGGAAUCUUUUGUUAGUCGUAAAACCACUGAUGAAUAAGGGGUGGGCAAGUUCUGGUGUCAGCCGCCGCGGUAAAACCAGCACCUCAAGUGGUCAGGAGGAUUAUUGGGCCUAAAGCAUCCGUAGCCGGCUCUGCAAGUUUUCGGUUAAAUCCAUUUGCUUAACAAAUGGGCUGCCGAAAAUACUACAUAGCUAGGGAGUGGGAGAGGUAGACGGUAUUCGGUAGGAAGGGGUAAAAUCCUUUGAUCUAUUGAGGACCACCUAUGGCGAAGGCAGUCUACCAGAACACGUUCGACGGUGAGGGACGAAAGCUGGGGGAGCAAACCAGAUUAGAUACCCGGGUAGUCCCAGCUGUAAACGAUGCAGACUCGGUGAUGCGCUGGCUUGUGGCCAGUGCAGUGCCGCAGGGAAGCCGUUAAGUUUGCCGCCUGGGAAGUACGUACGCAAGUAUGAAACUUAAAGGAAUUGGCGGGGGAGCCC